rnacentral:rRNA from 1 species
UAAUACGGAGGAUCCGAGCGUUAUCCGGAUUUAUUGGGUUUAAAGGGUGCGUAGGCGGACUGUUAAGUCAGUGGUGAAAGUUUGACGCUCAACGUUAAAAUUGCCAUUGAUACUGAUAGUCUUGAGUCCAGUUGAGGUAGGCGGAAUGUGGUGUGUAGCGGUGAAAUGCAUAGAUAUACCACAGAACACCGAUUGCGAAGGCAGCUUACUAAGCUGAAACUGACGCUGAUGCACGAAAGUGUGGGGAUCAAACAGG